rnacentral:sRNA from 1 species
UGCACUACGUUUACCAAUUCGCGGUCA